rnacentral:rRNA from 1 species
CGAAGGGGGAAACCUCCGGUGUCCUGGCUGCCCUGCGACGGUCGUGCAGCAGAGGGGCCCCCGCGGCCCCCUCUCGCGGCGUGCAAAAGGUCGGUGACCCACCCGACCCGUCUUGAAACACGGACCAAGGAGUCUAACAUGUGUGCGAGUCAUUGGGCUCACUAAACCCAGAGGCGCAAUGAAAGUGAAAGGAGGGCGCUCCCCGGAGCGCCUUCCGGGGCCGAUCCCUGACCGAGUGAGGCGUGGCCGUGGCCGACCCACACCAAAGCGGGGCCGCCGAGGCGGCGCGCGGGGUGAGACCCUUUCCCCCGUUAGCGCCGCCGGUCCCGCGGGCGCCCGGCUCCCUCCCUGGUCCUCCUCAGCCUGUACGCAGGGGGGCGCAGGCCCGGGACUUGCCACCUGACGCCGUCGCGCGAAGCUGUUGUUGGCCUCGCCGGCUCUGCCUGGGCUCUCGGUUGGCGUGCCGCGUGUCUCUGGGCGGGUCGUUGCGGGAGGGCUCGUCCCUCUCCUCGGCUCGUCCGGCGCGGUUCCGCCCUCCGAUCCUGCUCUGUCCGGCGUGGCCUAGCGCGCGUGCUGUCGGCAAGUACCAUGAGCAGACAUGUUGGGACCCGAAAGAUGGUGAACUAUGCCUGGCCAGGAUGAAGCCAGAGGAAACUCUGGUGGAGGUCCGCAGCAAUUCUGACGUGCAAAUCGAUUGUCAGAGCUGGGUAUAGGGGCGAAAGACUAAUC